AUGUUGUGGGUGGGGUCCACUGUAGUUGUUGAUCAGUCACAUCUAAUUCGGACUCGACAAGUUAUCAAGUCUUGUUUUAUCAUAUUUUCGUUUCUAUCAGUUCUUACAAUUGAGGAGAAGAAAAACAUAAACAUCAGAAACGAAGGGAAGGUGAAUCUAUGGCGGAGGAAGGAAAAGCAGGUGUUUGUCAAAGCUGCAGCAUCUAUUGGAUUUGUUCAUCAAGGGAGUCUUGGUCCAACGAAAGGAAAAGCUUAUAGAGACAAUGACAGAAUGUGGGCUAAUGAUCCUGUUCUUGCAAAUACAGUAUGAGAGUCUGGACUUAAAUAAUUCGAGGAAAAGUUGCUGUUGGCUUGAUUCCAAAUAUCAAGUUUUCACCUUUCAGGUAUAAGGCGGGCCAGCGUUUUGGACGUCAUAUUGAUGAAAAUGUUUAUCUUGGGGAUGGGAAGCCCCCAUUAUACUCUGCUGAUAUAUUUAAGUGGUGAUUCUAAAUUCAAAACUAGAAAUGAUCCAAAGUAUUCUUCGUCAGAGUCUCCAGCGGGAGGAGAAACUAUCUUCUAUAUAUAUCACUAUGCUUCAAGGAAUGGUGUUGUAGCUGAGGUGACUCCAUCUGAAGAAAUGGCACUCCUGCACGUUCAUGGGGACAAGUAGAAGCUGCAUGAAGCCCGAAAAGUUACCAAAGGUGUCAAAUAAGUGUUUCGGUCAGAUGUAGUUUUUGCUUAA